UGCAAGAAAAUGAAACGGGCCAAAGUUUCAAAGGCAAAUGUACUGUAUGUGCAAACAGUACAUUGAGAAUGUACCUAUAUUACGAAUGCUUUAUUUACUUUUUGGAAGCCGGACUUUGCGUCCGCAGUGUAGUGAAGCCUCGACCCGCGAAACGUUCGAAAGAAAAACCGUUAGAUUAGACGAUAAGACUGUUCACAGGCUGUGGUCACCCAGCAGACUGACAUCAUUAUAAAUAUUGUUCUCUGAUUUGAGGAAAUGUCUCUGGACUUUCAGACCUGAAUAUCAGUGUGGUUUUGUACGCACACCCAGAGCCUUUUAAGCCCUAGGUACGUUGUUAGUGUAGACGUUAAGCUCCCGCUAGCGCCGGCCCUGCAAUCUAGGCGGUGUCCUAGGGCGCCGAUAUAAAUGGAGCACAAAAUUUGAGGGAAAAUAGUUUUAAAAACUUUAUAAGAAAUUAAAAUAUUUUAAAAUGUUAAUUAUAAUAUUAUAUGAAAAGUAUUUCACUCCAUGUGUGUGAGAGAAGCUAAUAUUAAUUGUAAUUAUUUUCUAUACAUUUUCGAGAAUUUACUAAAACGUUAAAUCCUCUGUUAAGAUCGUGAAAACGAACAUCUUGACGCUCUUUGCUAGUGUCUAUUGCUCUUCGCACCGCUGUCUGUAUUAUUGCCGUAGAGCUGUGAUAUCACGAGUUAGCGUUUUAGUUUAUACAGAAUCUAAAAAACUGUAAAACUGAGCCGUUUACCUAACUCACAAAAAGACACAGAGAAGAAAAGAGUCUGAGAAGAAAAAGGAAGAAAGACAGGGAAUUAACAGAAGCAGAAACACCCGGAGCUGAGAAAAUCAGAAGACACUUGGUUGAAGACAAGGAAUGAGAAAAUGCUUUAGAUGGAAAAAUCUGUUUUGUCUGAAACAGCAGUUUUUAAAGAUCCAGUGCAGAGUCCCAGGGGCAGGGAAGGACAAGGGAAUGGCAGAGGGGGGAUGUCCGGGCAGUGAGCUGAUGGGCUGAAGUGCAAGGAAAGGACUACUGAAGCCAGCAGAGCUCCAGGGUGCAGGACUGAGCUACAGUACCAGGCCCCCGGUCGGCCACAGGAUCUCAAAGGUAACAGCACAGCUGCAGACCCAGUGUGGACACCAAGGAACCAGAAGCGACAGGGGCCCACUACAGGACAAUUCCAGUGUGAAGUGAGUGUCGAGGUACCAGAAGGGUGUGCGGUGACCGCGGGCCACUGCUACACAAACCACCAGCCACAAGCUGCGCUGCCACCAGACAAAGAGUUAACCGCCAGCGGUACGCAGCUUGCUGGAGCAGUCAAGACGAGCACAGUGAAAGCCAAGUGAAGGAUAGCGGGUCAGGAUAGGCAGGCAAUAGGAAAGUCCAGGCACGCAGGGAACAGGAUCAAAUGGGCAACAGAGGGAAUUCAGGCAGACUGGGAACAGGAGGAAAGCAGGGAUAACUCCACUGGAAAUGCUGGCUGGUGGUCUGUAAGUGCAGGGCAGGGAUUGUUGAUGCAUUUGGAUCCAUUUUUACUGUUUCCUUAGUAAGUUGAGGUGAAAUUAGUGUAUGUGUCCAUGAUCUGGAGGAAUUUGUUUAGGACAAUUAUAUGUGAAUCUGGGGACACAGUAGAUAUACUGUACUGUUUUCUGAUAAUCUAACAAAACACACGUUUGGAUUGUUGUUCUCUUAACGUGUGCCAUAAAGCCAGACAGAUAUCCAUCAGAGAAAUAUUUAGAAAACCUCAUGGCCCUGCAC